CUCUUCUUGAAUAUAAUUUGAUGUAUGGCCUGCCCACUGAAUAUUGAAGGGCCGCGGUAUUUUGACCGUGCAAAGGUAGCAUAAUCAUUAGUCUUUUAAUUGUGGACUGGAAUGAAUGGUUUGACGAGGUGUUAACUGUCUUUAAAUUUUUUUUAUUGAAUUUAAAUUUUAGGUUAAAAUGCCUAAAUGUUUUUUUGGGACGAGAAGACCCUAUAGAGUUUUAUAUAUUUUUAUUUUUUUGUAUGUUAAAUUUUAAUUUAAAAAUUUAUUUUGUUGGGGUGAUGAGAAGAUUAAAUUAACUCUUUUUGUUUUUUUAUAUUUAUUUAUAUUUAUUUGAUCCAUUUUUAUUGAUUAUAAGACUAAAUUACC
rnacentral:rRNA from 1 species